UAAGAUGAUUAAGUAACACAAGGGCCAGAU
rnacentral:piRNA from 1 species